ACUUAUAANAAAUGGUCGCAUUGAAUUCAGGCAGUCUGACCAUCAACACGCAAAGCGUCGCUCAAANUGAAUAUAAAUCCAAUCCUCCAAAGCUUAGACUUAACUGAGAAGUUCAUACUUUACAUCGCAGCACUCAAGAAUAGGAUUCAGUAAUUCUUGUUUUGGGAAAAUUUUAUCAAGAACGAACUUUACACACAGUACUAGUCACGAAGCGAUGGCCUCCAGAAACUACCGCAGUCAACUACCACUGCCACUUCGAUACCAAAGGNUACUAAGACUACAUCGCUACAGGCNAUUCAUGCCAAAUCAACUUACCCCAGAAAUGUUGAAAUACCAUUUAAGGUGGAUAAACCAACAAUCUAGGAUCCCAAAAGGAAUGAUCUGUGAUCACUGUGAACAACUAGUCCCUGAUAANGCAAAGGGACGAUAUAAGUGUGUCCGCUGUCAAGCAAAAUAUUGCAGUAAAGAGCAUCAAAAGGCAGCUUCAAAGUUCCACCACAGAUCAUGCAAUCGCUUCCCAAGAGAUCCCUCUCCUAGAAAUAAUAAUAAUCUUUCUUCUAAAGAAAUCCUACAAGAUGAAGACCAGGCUGAAGUGAUCUACGGAAAUCCUACGAACCUUAACCAGAACUUGAACAUUGCAAAAUANGUUAUAGAGAAUUUAAGAAAAUAUGGACAUUGUGUUUUGGACAAUUUUCACGGGGAGAGAAUUGCUAAAUCAGUAUUAAACGAAGUGAAGGCUUUACACAGUCAAGGUUCGUUUAAUUAUGGCCAACUUCAGUCUACUUCAGGACAUGGGACUUCAAAUAGAAGAAUACGAGAAGAUGAGAUAACGUGGAUGAACGGAAACGAAGCAGGCUGUGAAAAUAUCUCCCAUCAUAUGAGCAUCACAGAUACGUUACUACAACUGUGUAACUUCUUCAUCAAAGAAAACAAGAUUGAGAUGCGAUCUCCGGCCAUGGUAGCUUGUUAUCCAGGCAAAGGGACAGGAUACAAGCGACAUAUUGACAACCCCAACAAAGAUGGUCGUUUGAUUACCACGCUGUACUAUAUAAACCCUGGAUGGGAUGUUCAGAGUGAUGGUGGAGUUUUGAAGCUGUACCCAGAAUCAAAGUUCUUCCCAGAUUCAGAUAAGACAGAGGUAGAGAUAGAACCAGUGUUUGAUAGAUUGCUGCUUUUUUGGUCNGACAAGAGGAACCCACAUGAAGUAUGUCCUGCUUACAAAACCAGGUAUGCUAUUACCCUGUGGUACUUUGAUACGGAUGAGAGAAAAAAGUUCUUUGAAAAGUGAACUCACUCCACUCAAAGAGAAGGAAGUAAUAAGAGAGAAAGAAAGCAGUGAAGCUUAGUGGUUUGUGAUGUUUCUUGCUAUUUCAAUCAAGCAUAAUUGAUAAAUGGUGGUUACUUCCUGAUGCGUCCACCACAGAGCAGUAGAGUAAGUUGUACUCAUAAAGACAAUGUUUGGCACUACUGUGCCAGGAGAUUCAACCUCAUGCAAUUAACUGAAGCUAAAUAUCAUAAAUCUAAGAUUUAAUACUCUAUCCUGUUACCAGAUUNUACAGAAAGGUAAUAUUCUAGACGUUUUCAGUUUACCUCAUAUUUCUGUGUUACAGUNGGUUUCACAUUACUUUACACCUUUGGGUCCCGAACUAUGUUCGGAAAUUCCCAUGUUGGCAACCAUGCUAUUUCAGAACUUUAAAACAAAGUUUGUUUCAAAGUUUAGAAUUUGGUUUAGCAAUAGAAUUUAAAGUUCUCGAAGGAAAUCCCGAAGCUUCUGGUUGAAAAUCAAGAUUGUUUGCUGCAAAAUAAGCCAACCAAGUUCUGAAAUUUGGCGUAAAAGUUCAGAAGUGAAACCGACUGUAACUUAUCUUUUAAAUUUCAUGUCUUUAAAUAUUUUCCAUAACUACUACCCAGAAUAUCAGUUGAAAUUUAGUACAAGUUUCUAAAGUUUAUGUAGAAGCAUGAAUUUUACCNCAAAUGUGAAGCACUUGCAUUUGUCAAUGUUGGUAGCAGGGGCGUAUCCAGGGGGGUCACAGGGUGGCCAUGACCCCCCUUUUAAAGCCAAAAAAAUCUAACNGGCUGUUGAUGCAGUGUGUGAAGAUUUGUUUAGACUUAACUUAGGCAGUAAAGAAAAUCAGUUUUUUGCGCUUCUCGGAGCCGUCUUUUCAUUUCGUUUCCCUUCUAUCGACCAUGAUUCUUUUUUGUCAAAGCAAUAGAUUGCUAUGACGUCAUAUUGACGUCAUAUGACGUCAUAGUGACAAUUUGUUAUGUAAGGAUCCCCCAGUUACAAUUCCUGGAUACGCCCCUGGGUAGUAUGAAUUUGUUGUGAUAUCCAUUCUGCCACCAUCAGGACAGGAGUUCAGGGAGUGGGUGAGUUGCAUGGACUUAAAAUGACACCCUGAUCUGUUGUGACAGUCUGUAGCUCUCCCAUAACCUAAGCCAGUGCGACUACCCUGUUCUUUCAAGUCCCUUAAUAUAUAGGCUAGAUGUGCUAUAAGUUCACAAUGAGAAUCAAAGUUUAUGCACAUAGAAAUGAUAUCAAUUUCGGUCUCCAAAAUGUAAUGUCAUGUAAACUGAGAAAGCCUAUUAUUGUUGAGUUACAAAUCUAUCCUUACCAGGAGUAUCAAGGGUACAGCUAUGCCUUUUUAAAUGAAAAUAAGGCCUAUUGUCUUGGCUAAAAGUGGUCACUUGGGAAACUGGUACCAUACAAGCCUUCAUUUUUCACUUGACUGAAAUGUGGGUUUCAGAACUCCUGCAAAUCUACUGACUCUGUGCAUACCCCUGAGUACCAAGAGAGAUGUAGAGAUGUGCAUGUAUGGUGCCAAACGAUGGGAUCCUUGAUGUGUUGGCAAUAGUAAAACAUAGAAGCAAAGCCUCAUUACUAAAUCAAAGUUUGGAGGCACAAACGAAACGAGUUUUCUUAAAAUUUUGAAAUCNAUAUCGAGUCAUUCAAUUGGUAUAAGUAUGUAAUUAAAAAUGAAUAUGCUAUGCUGCGAAUUAUAUUUAUAUUUCCUAGAAGAGCAUUCAGUCAAAUCUUUUAUGUUUUAUUAUUUGAGCACAACAACAUUUCAGCUGCAAUNUAUUAUGCAUUCCUGGAAGGAGAUAAUCUAAUGUAUACCUAUUUGAAAAAGGUUGUCUUAGAGAAUACAGAAUGCUGCAUACUGAAUUCCUUACUAUGUUAAAAUGAUGAAGGCAAAGUACAGAACAGUAUUCAUAUUCAUGCCAAAAAGAUGCAUUGGCAAUAAUAGUUAACAAGAGAAUAUUGUAGUUAGUUUAUUUUGUGUUUCGAAAAAAGCUCAUAAUUUUUACAAGAAUUCAAAAUCCUUUGUAUCGCAACCUUUUUUUGAAAAAAUAGUGUAUAUUCCUGUAUGAACCACUGAGAUGCAGGUCGGUGAAUGCCACAAGAAAGGAUUAUGGUCCUUAGAUAAAAUUACCUAGGCUAAAAUGAUUUACGCUGUGUAUAAAAAUAACCUUGAACAGAAUUCUAACUUUACGUAUAUAUAAAAUAUUGAACAUACCAGGAAAAGUCCUUAAAGAACUAUCUGUGCAUAUAGGCUAUUUGUAUAAUUACAUUUACUACUAUUACCAGAAUGCUUUGCAAGCGUUUUGUAUUUAAGAUGUUAUUCUCUUGUGACUGGUAGUCUGUCAGAAUUCCAAAUAAAAUGUGCAAGGAAUUCUGGUAGCUGUAGUAUAUGUAUCCCUUGUGGCAAUACACUAUGAUGUAUCAAAACAUUGGUAUAUUAUGUAAAUAUCUAAAUGUAAGCAUAUUGUGUUUUCUCCCACAUAUACGUAUGAACAGUAUAAAAUGAUCCUAUUAACUUGUAGUAGAGUUAGGAUCAAAAGUUGUACUAUUUAGUACAUUUUUAAAGGAGUAAAACGUACAUACAUGCUGUUUGUAGUUUAGUAUANAGCACGCGGGCCUUGGCAUGAACCCAAGUAGAAGUGUUAGCGGUCUCUCGAUACAUCUCGGAAAUCCUGUGCUAGCGAUUAUAAUCUAUUCCCAUUCCAAAUAAACCUAAUCUCCAGAAA
rnacentral:misc_RNA from 1 species